GAUGAACGCUGGCGGUAUGCUUAACACAUGCAAGUCGAACGAAGUACGAAAGUACUGAGUGGCGGACGGGUGAGUAACGCGUGAGAACCUGCCUUUUAGACGGGGACAACAGUGGGAAACGACUGCUAAUACCCGAUGAGCCGAAAGGUAAAAGAUUAAUCGCUAAAAGAGGGGCUCGCGUCCGAUUAGCUAGUUGGUGGGGUAAAGGCUUACCAAGGCAGCGAUCGGUAGCUGGUCUGAGAGGACGAGCAGCCACACUGGGACUGAGACCCGGCCCAGACUCCUACGGGAGGCAGCAGUGGGGAAUUUUCCGCAAUGGGCGAAAGCCUGACGGAGCAAUACCGCGUGAGGGAGGAAGGCUUUUGGGUUGUAAACCUCUUUUCUCAAGGAAGAACAAAAUGACGGUACUUGAGGAAUCAGCAUCGGCUAACUCCGUGCCAGCCGCCGCGGUAAUAC
rnacentral:rRNA from 1 species